rfam:Otolemur garnettii contig096548, whole genome shotgun sequence.
GCCAGGUACAGGAGCACAUACCUAUACUCCCAGCUUACUUGGGAGGCUGAGGCAGGAGGAUCACUAGAGCCCAGGAGCUUAGGUUGUAGUGCAUUAUGCUGAUCAGGUGUCUCCACUAAGUUUGGCAUUGAUAUGUGAUACCCCAGAAGCCAGGGACCACCAGAUUGCCUAAAGAGGGACAAACUGGCCCAGGUCAGAAAUGGAGCAGGUCAAAACAACUGUGCUUAAACAGUAGUGGGACUGUGCCUGUAAACAACUAUUGCACUCCACUCUGGGCAACACAGCGAGAUCUUGUCUCUU